rnacentral:rRNA from 1 species
GCAUGUUUUUGACAUUUGAAAAAUGGACUGCUCAGUAAUACUCACUUUAUUUUAUGUAAAUUUUUAAUUAACUACGUUAAAGUGUAGAUAAGAUGUUUACAGUAAGAGUGAGACCUAUCAGCUAGUUGUUAAGGUAAUGGCUUAACAAGGCUGUGACGGGUAACGGUAUUACUUUGUAAUAUUCCGGAGAAGGAGCCUGAGAGACGGCUACUAAGUCUAAGGAUUGCAGCAGGGGCGAAACUUGACCUAUGGAUUUUAUCUGAGGCAGUUAUCGGAAGUAAUAUUAUAUUGUUUCAUAUUUUAAAAGUAUAUGAGGUGAUUAAUUGGAGGGCAAAUCAAGUGCCAGCAGCCGCGGUAAUACUUGUUCCAAGAGUGUGUAUGAUGAUUGAUGCAGUUAAAAAGUCCGUAGUUUAUUUUUUUAAGAAGCAAUAUGAGGUGUACUGUAUAGUUGGGAGAAAGAUGAAAUGUGACGACCCUGACUGGACGAACAGAAGCGAAAGCUGUACACUUGUAUGUAUUUUUUGAACAAGGACGUAAGCUGGAGGAGCGAAGAUGAUUAGAUACCAUUGUAGUUCCAGCAGUAAACUAUGCCGACGAUGUGAUAUGAAAAUAUUAAUUUGUGUUACAUAAUAGAAAUUUGAGUUUUUUGGCUCUGGGGAUAGUAUGAUCGCAAGAUUGAAAAUUAAAGAAAUUGACGGAAGAAUACCACAAGGAGUGGAUUGUGCGGCUUAAUUUGACUCAACGC